rnacentral:rRNA from 2 species
UUAGCGGCGGACGGGUGAGUAACACGUGGGUAACCUGCCUGUAAGACUGGGAUAACAUUCGGAAACGAAUGCUAAUACCGGAUACGCGGCUUGGUCGCAUGACCGAGCCGGGAAAGAUGGAGCAAUCUAUCACUUAUAGAUGGACCCGCGGCGCAUUAGCUAGUUGGUGAGGUAACGGCUCACCAAGGCGACGAUGCGUAGCCGACCUGAGAGGGUGAUCGGCCACACUGGGACUGAGACACGGCCCAGACUCCUACGGGAGGCAGCAGUAGGGAAUCUUCCGCAAUGGACGAAAGUCUGACGGAGCAACGCCGCGUGAGUGAUGAAGGUUUUCGGAUCGUAAAGCUCUGUUGCCAGGGAAGAAUGCUUGGGAGAGUAACUGCUCUCAAGGUGACGGUACCUGAGAAGAAAGCCCCGGCUA